UACAGAGGGUGCGAGCGUUAAUCGGAAUUACUGGGCGUAAAGCGCGCGUAGGCGGCUUUGCAAGUCGGGUGUGAAAUCCCCAGGCUUAACCUGGGAACUGCAUUCGAGACUGCGUUGCUAGAGUAUGGGAGAGGGAAGUGGAAUUUCCGGUGUAGCGGUGAAAUGCGUAGAUAUCGGAAGGAACAUCAGUGGCGAGACCGACUUCCUGGACCAAUACUGACGCGCAUGUGCGAAAGCGUGCGGAGCAACCAGG
rnacentral:rRNA from 1 species